rnacentral:rRNA from 1 species
UACGUAGGGGGCAAGCGUUGUCCGGAUUUAUUGGGCGUAAAGAGCGUGUAGGCGGCUAGAUAGGUCCGUUGUGAAAACUCGAGGCUCAACCUCGAGACGUCGAUGGAAACCAUCUAGCUAGAGUCCGGAAGAGGAGAGUGGAAUUCCUGGUGUAGCGGUGAAAUGCGCAGAUAUCAGGAAGAACACCCGUGGCGAAGGCGGCUCUCUGGGACGGUACUGACGCUGAGACGCGAAAGCGUGGGGAGCGAACAGG